UUCUUACUGCUCCGCUUGUCUGUUAUUCAGUUCCAGUCUUCCUCCCUCUCCCUCUCCUCAGGCUUCCCUAUUCCCUGAGACAUAACAAUAUUGAAAUUAGGCCAAAUUAUAAUCCAAAAUGAUCUCUAAGUAUUCAAGUAAAAGGAAGAAUCGAUCAACACAGCAAACUUCAUUGUUGUCUUAUUUUUAGAAAUUGCCACAGCCAUGCCAACCUUCAGCCAUCAUAUCCUGAUCAGACCACAGGCAUCAACAUUGAGGACAAAGUCCCUGGCUGAGAGUACAAGAACAUUCCAAGGAACCAAUGGAAGACUGAGAGUACUUCCAUCAACCAUCAACAACUUCUACUACUGUGGAAAUAGAAAUGGAUUUGAAUUCAAAGAUUUGUGUUUAAAUCUUGGCUCUGAUUCUCCCUAUGUAUGUAUGUAUGUAUGUAUGUAUGUAUGUGUAUAUAUAUAUAUAUAUAUAUAUAUGACUAUGAGCAAAUUCCUUCACCUUUCUAGACAUCACUUUUUCCUCUAUAAAAUGA
rnacentral:lncRNA from 1 species